rnacentral:rRNA from 1 species
CAGCAGCCACGGUAAUACGUAGGGUGCGAGCGUUAAUCGGAAUUACUGGGCGUAAAGCGUGCGCAGGCGGUUCGUUAAGACAGAUGUGAAAUCCCCGGGCUUAACCUGGGAACUGCAUUUGUGACUGGCGAGCUAGAGUAUGGCAGAGGGGGGUAGAAUUCCACGUGUAGCAGUGAAAUGCGUAGAGAUGUGGAGGAAUACCGAUGGCGAAGGCAGCCCCCUGGGCCAAUACUGACGCUCAUGCACGAAAGCGUGGGGAGCAAACAGGAUUAGAUACCCCGGUAGUCCCUGUCUCUUAUAC